GGGGGACCUUCGGGCCUCUUGCCAUCGGAUGUGCCCAGAUGGGAUUAGCUAGUAGGUGGGGUAACGGCUCACCUAGGCGACGAUCCCUAGCUGGUCUGAGAGGAUGACCAGCCACACUGGAACUGAGACACGGUCCAGACUCCUACGGGAGGCAGCAGUGGGGAAUAUUGCACAAUGGGCGCAAGCCUGAUGCAGCCAUGCCGCGUGUAUGAAGAAGGCCUUCGGGUUGUAAAGUACUUUCAGCGGGGAGGAAGGGAGUAAAGUUAAUACCUUUGCUCAUUGACGUUACCCGCAGAAGAAGCACCGGCUAACUCCGUGCCAGCAGCCGCGGUAAUACGGAGGGUGCAAGCGUUAAUCGGAAUUACUGGGCGUAAAGCGCACGCAGGCGGUUUGUUAAGUCAGAUGUGAAAUCCCCCAGGACUACAGUC
rnacentral:rRNA from 1 species